UACGAAGGGGGCUAGCGUUGUUCGGAAUUACUGGGCGUAAAGCGCGCGCAGGCGGCUAUCCAAGUCAGUGGUGAAAUCCCGGGGCUCAACCUCGGAACCGCCUUCAAUACUGGAUAUCUUGAGUUCGGGAGAGGUGAGUGGAAUGCCGAGUGUAGAGGUGAAAUUCGUAGAUAUUCGGCGGAACACCAGUGGCGAAGGCGACUCACUGGCCCGAUACUGACGCUGAGGCGCGAAAGCGUGGGGAGCAAACAGG
rnacentral:rRNA from 1 species